UACGGCCAUCCACGUUGAAACACCGAUUCUCGUAUGAUUACCGAAGUUAAGCAACGCCGAGCCUGGUCAGUACCUAGGUGGGUGGGCGCUUGGGAAUACGAGGUGCAGUA